UCAGUUUGUCACCAAAAUGAAAUGAAUGUUUUAGUUUUGUUCUCAGCAGAAACAUGGUGAGGAAUACAAAAAGGGAAAAAGCAGAGUGGGAACGAGAGCUGAAAACUAUUGUUUCUCAGAUGAAAGCAAAUUAGAAGUUGCUCAGCAUGGUUCAGGGUGUGCUGGCAACGCACCAGGUGGAAAACUGUGACCUUGGAGCUGCAUGGGAACUGCCAGGGCUGUUCUCUAGCUGGGAGGAGGAAGUGGAUCGAGCUGAGAGGGAACUGGGACAUUUUCCUGAUUCCUAGAGGUCCACCCUAAGAAACCUACAGGUCAGCCCCAGACAAAUCUUGGCUAUUCUCACUGUGAUGCUGGUGCAUACUCAAGAAGGAGAGAGGAGCUGUAUUCUACAGCUGGCAAGCAACAAGAAAGAAGUGAUGGAGUCAUUAGUUUCACUCAUCUGGCUAAUAGGGCAGCAGAACAGCUGAUCCUCCUGGGUCUGGAGAUUCCUUCCUGAUGUCUCUCCUGCUCAGUGUUACACAACUCAGCAGAAUAUUGAGUUCUGGGUUGACCAUGAGCUCCUGGUCUGAUUGUCUCCUUCCAGCUUGGGAAGACCUGAAAAAAGGCAACUUCUCAUGGCAGUUAAGUCUUUACUCUGUCAAACUCCCAUGUCUUUGUUGAGUGAGGGUCAGACUGUAUGAGAGGAUUGCAAACAGAGUGGGGGGGGGGGAGCAAGCAAUACAGUAAUUGGAAGUAGAGAAAAAUGAUUUGUGUACCCCUGGUGUUUAUGUGCAAGCACACAUACAUGAGUCAGACCAAAGCUUGUCUAGAUUAUUAUCCUGCCCCCAGCUUUGGGCAAUAGGAGAUGCUUAGGGAAAAAGCAUAAGAAAUGAGAUAUUCAAAUAUUUUCAAUACAGGAAGCAGGCAGAUUCUUUGCAAGGAAUGUGAGUGUUGCUGUGGGUUGUUGCCUGGCAUUCAACAUAUUUCUACUGUUAAUAACUAUUUUCUUCAACGAGUUGUGUACUUACUAUUUGCAGUACAAGCUACAGCUUUGGGGAGGAGUAACCUUCUGGGAGCUGGUGUCAUGUUUUUUGCAAUCUUUUCUGCAGUCAGUUGUGACAUACAGAAAUAUUACAGAUACAAUGCUUGCACAGACUAUCUGGACACCAGCUAUUGACAAAUAUUUACAUUUCUUAUUGCCACUGUUCUGUUUUUAUGACACCUUAUUCAAUCUUGAAAGCCCUUCAGAAGUCCCUGUCACAGUUUUUGAGUCAAGGCCAAUAAAGGACAAUGUGAGAUGGCCUCCUCUACCCAAAAUUCUCUGCAAAAUUAAGGUAGACAUUCAUGGAGUGGUCCAUUCAGUGCUGUAAAUAACCAGAAUUUGGAAGGUACAUAUAAUUUACCUAGCUGUUUGAUCUAACUCAUUAGGAAAAAAAGAAGUAAGUAACCUGGUGCUACAGAAGUUACUUCAAUGCAAAAUGAAUUUGAUGUGAAACAGGCAAAUUGUGAAAACAGAUUCUUACUUAUUACUGCUGCAGAACUUGCAGUUCAGUGUGAAUUUAAUAUCUAAAGGGGGGCUAUAGGAAAGAAGGGAACGGACUCUAGCAGGGUCUGUUGUGAUAGGACAAGGGGAAACAGUUUCAAAGUAGAACAGGGGAAUUUUAUAUUGGAUAUAAGGAAGAAGUUCUUUACAAUGAGGGUGGUGAGGCACUGGCACAGGUUGGCCAGAGAGAGGGUGAAUUCCCUGUCCCUGGAGAUUCUACUUUAUUACUCAGAUUUGAGUAUAUAUGCAACACUGUGAUGGGCAACAACAGAAAGACGUCAUAAUAUGCAAAGGAAAGGUCAAAAGCUGAAUGUACACAGUCCUGAAAUCCCUAAGUUUGGUAGUGUGGUAACUUUGGUGCUCUCUGGAGUCCUCUGAUUUCUGUAGCACUCCACUGUCUCUUGGCAUCAGGAUGACCUGUGCUACCCUCUUGGUUUGUUGGUUUUGGGGUGUGUUUUUUUUUCUUUUCUCCAGACGCAGUGGAAGAGCUGUUGCACGUAAGCUGGUCUUCAGAAACAAGACAGCAGAGGAGGUUGUGGGAAGAGUCCACGGUUUUUAGAAGGACAUAUGUGUGCAGAUUAAACAAAACUGAGACCUGUGACCUUCAAGGAUGCUGAUGUGUAAUGCUGUAAGCUGACUGGAUUGGUGGAAAAAAGAAAAAGGAGACUCAGUCAUAGAAACAGCUGCUUCUUUCAUACAAGACUUGCCCGGGAGCAAAUCAAUGCAUUUAAUUUGAUUCUGGAACUAGCUGCACAGUUAAUAAUGCCUCAAGACUGUAAGCAAAUCUCUAAAUCUGUAUCUCUAAUAUUCAGAUUCCCUUUCCCCGGAAAAAAAAAAAAUUAAAAAUUAAAAAAAUCUGCAUUUCAUCAAAUCCAUAUUAAGAAGGUUAUGCAAGCUAGUUAUAAGAGAAGAGGCCCAACCCUGGUGCUGUUCUGAGAAGCUGCAAAAAUAAGGUGUAGAAGUACCCCAAAGACUACGCUGCAUGUCGUCAUAGUCCUACAAGAUAGUCCGCUCUUAAAUGCGGAGAUCAGCUGAUGCAUCAUGGCUCACGUGGUACCUACUGUAGAGAACUACAAACGGUUGCCUGGCUUCUGCUCACUCCAGGAAUUAAUCAGCGCGUCACUGCAGUUGAUGGGAAGUAAUGAGCAGCUGUCUUCAGAAUGAGGUGUUGAACAUGACUCAGGCACAGCACAGUAUUGAGAUCUAACAUGGAAAUGUCCUCUAGUUAUUUCUAAAGGUCUGAGAAACCAGAAUGAGAUGCUGGGUAUGUGAUGGGUACAAAAAGGAUACAUUUCAAAGGCAAAGAGAACAGAACUGCCAGUAGCAUUGAAGAGAAUCAGAAUCAUUAAGAUGUGAAGAGACUACUAAGAUUGUCUAGUACAUGAGUGUCCAACCUUUUGGUUUGCCUGGGCUGUGCUGAUUGAAGAGAAAUUGUCUUGGGCCACAUAUACGUAGACCGCUCUGAAACUAAGGCCUACUAUUAAUUUCCAUGGAAAAUACGACAGAAACAAGGAGCACAGUAGCACUGUUUAACAGAGCAAAUUCUCAGCUACACAAUACUAUCUGUCAGCAUAGUCACCACCAUUAAUUCUGUGCAUUUUUGCCAGUGAUGAACUAGAGCUUGCAUUCUAUGCUUAUAAAAAUCUGUACCAGUCACGGUGGCCCGCUGCCUCCUCUGCUGAAAUACACCACCCACCACCUCACUGUGCUCACAGCCACUGCUUGGUCUCCAGAAACAUUCAGCAAGUAUCGAUGAAUGUCAGUGGGUGCUAUUUUUUUUUUU